rnacentral:rRNA from 1 species
UACGGGGGGGGCAAGCGUUGUUCGGAAUUACUGGGCGUAAAGGGCUCGUAGGCGGCCAACUAAGUCAGACGUGAAAUCCCUCGGCUUAACCGGGGAACUGCGUCUGAUACUGGAUGGCUUGAGUUUGGGGAGAGGGAUGCGGAAUUCCAGGUGUAGCGGUGAAAUGCGUAGAUAUCGGAAGGAACACCAGUGGCGAAAGCGGCUUCCUGGUCCAGCACCCGACGUUC